GACGAACCGAGCGAACGUUGUUCGGAAUCACUGGGCUUAAAGGGCGCGUAGGCGGGCUGCCGCGUCCGGGGUGAAAGCCCCCCGCUCAACGGGGGAACGGCCUCGGAUACGGGCGAUCUCGAGGGGGGUAGGGGCACCUGGAACUGUGGGUGGAGCGGUGAAAUGCGUUGAUAUCCACAGGAACUCCGGUGGCGAAGGCGAGGUGCUGGACCCCAUCUGACGCUGAGGCGCGAAAGCCAGGGGAGCGAACAGG
rnacentral:rRNA from 1 species